rnacentral:rRNA from 1 species
AGUGAACGCUGGCGGUAGGCCUAACACAUGCAAGUCGAACGGCAGCACAGGAGAGCUUGCUCUCUGGGUGGCGAGUGGCGGACGGGUGAGGAAUACAUCGGAAUCUACUCUGUCGUGGGGGAUAACGUAGGGAAACUUACGCUAAUACCGCAUACGACCUACGGGUGAAAGCAGGGGACCUUCGGGCCUUGCGCGAUUGAAUGAGCCGAUGUCGGAUUAGCUAGUUGGCGGGGUAAAGGCCCACCAAGGCGACGAUCCGUAGCUGGUCUGAGAGGAUGAUAAGCCACACUGGAACUGAGACACGGUCCAGACUCCUACGGGAGGCAGCAGUGGGGAAUAUUGGACAAUGGGCGAAAGCCUGAUCCGGCCAUACCGCGUGGGGGAAGAAGGCCUUCGGGUUGUAAAGCCCUUUUGUUGGGAAAGAAAUCCAGCUGGCUAAUACCCGGUUGGGAUGACGGUACCCAAAGAAUAAGCACCGGCUAACUUCGUGCCAGCAGCCGCCGUAA